rnacentral:misc_RNA from 1 species
CAACCCUCAAGCUCAGCUUGGUAUUGGGUGUCACCUGGCAAUGGUGUACCUUAAAAUCAGUGGCGGUGCCAUCUGGCUUCAAGCGUAGUAAUUCUCUCUCGCUCUGGAGCUUUAGGUGAGUGCUUGCUAUCAACCCCUAAUUUUUCAAA